UUGCCUUUCUUGCACCCAAGCCGCUUCUCCUCUUCUCUGAAACUGCUUCUGCCUCUUCUCUCGAUCUCUGCUGCUUCUUCUCCGGGACCUCAAGCUGCUGCUCCAUUCCCAAACUGCUGCUCCUCUCUCCCUAGCGCCACCAUACUGCUGCUCCUUCUCCUUCGCCUGCUGCUACUCCCUUGCCCCACGCCUCUGCUCCUUCUCUGAACCAACUGCUGGCUCCUAUUACCUCUCCCCGAAACUGAUGUUGCUCCUAUUUCUUGCUGCACCUUCUCCCCAGCGCCCUCUUGCUACUCCUAACUUGCUGAAGUUCUACUCCGAACGACUUCAUCUUGUGUGUUCGUGUGUGUGAGAUUGUGUGCAUUUGUACUUCAUAAGUAUUGAUAGUGUGUGAUGAAGAGAUAUGUUAAUUCCAGGGACAUGUAGUUGUUCUUAUAAUUUUGUUGAUCAGUGAGAAUUGGUACUGAUGCUUAUGACCUUCUAUUUCUAUGUAUGAGAUCUAGCCAAGCCUGUCAUUUGUAUAUUGCACUUGCUGAAUAGUGUUCAGUUUUCAGUCCCUGUUUUAGCUCUAGUACCCGUGAUGUAUAUGUUCGUGAUAUAUGUUUCAUGUGGUUUCGUAUUGCUGUUAUGUUGAUCAUUUUAGUGCUAGUAUUGUGUCUUUUGUAAUCCAAACCAUAUAUGAUUUGUGUGUGUGACUAAUUGACAGCUAGUAGCUUUUAAUUAUUCAUAUUGUUUCUUGUGGAUUUUCUAGCGAUGUUACUCUCUGUAGAAGUGAGACGUAUGAACAUUUAAUUUCCAGUCUCCGUGUUAAUGAUGUUAGUGUGAAUAUAUAUAUAUAUAUAUAUAUAUAUAUAUAUAUAUAUAUGUGUGUGUGUGUGUGUGUGUGUGUGUGUGUGUGUGUGUGUGUGUGUGUUUUUGUUGUGAUAUAUUUCUGUCCCUGUCGUACUAGCGUGUUCCCACCUUGUCUCAUACUUGCUAGUUAGAUAUAUACAUAUAUGUGGUCUUGUCUUGUUAAUUCCCCUUAUUGAGGAUGUUCGUCUGUAGUUUCAAUUUUCUCAAGUGAUAUGAAAACACCAAAAAAGGAGCGAGUUUCAAUCUUAAUCUCCUCGUGUCGUUUGUCAUUUUAUUUGUCAUCAUUCUAGAUUUGUAUUUUCUUCUUUCAUCAUCUAAAUUCUGUCACCUAGCUUUAGCCGAGCAUUGUUGCCGUCGCUUAGUCCCUGUGGAGAACACGACAUCCGUAGUUUGGGCGUAAAAACCCUGCUAUAUUACAAUUGAUCAUUUUGGCGCUGUUGCCGGGGACUAGCGUCGAGCGAUUAUGUUAGCUAUAGACUAGGUCUAUUUUAGUUUCGUGUUUAAUUCAUCGUGUAUUUCUUUUUCUGUGUUUCUUUUAUAAUUUUUUUCCUUGUUGUUGCUUCGGCUUAUUAGGAUACUAACAUUCUGACUAGUAUUUACUAUUUAUGAGUGUGCGUAGGAAAUCUGAUCUAUUUGCAGGUUGAUUGAUAGUUACACUUGGUGGAGAUAUGGUGAUGCUUCGUGAUGUUUGGAUGCCAAGCAGCCAAUGCUAUUUCACAGGGCCACUUUGGCCGUCUUUUGAGGCAGAAAAUUUUGAGCUAAAGCCUGGUCUUAUUGCUUUGGUUCAACAACAACAGUUUGCAGGUCUGCUCACUGAGGAUCCCUAUGAGCACUUAUACCGAGUCAUGUUGUAUUCAGGUACAGUCAAGUACCAUGGAGUUCCUCAAGAUGCUAUCAAGUGCAUGUUGUUCUCAUUCUCUCUCCGGGAUGAUGCUCGUGCUUGGUAUCGAUCCUUGCCAUCAAGAUCAUUCAGUUGGAACGAGAUAUCACAAGCUUUCUUGGAUAAAUAUUUCCCACUACACAAGCAGUCCGCAAUUCGAGAUGAGAUCCUCAGCUUCGUUCAGCGUGAAGGCGAGAGCUUGUAUGAUGCUUGGGAGAGAUACAGGGCUUUAUUCAGGAGAUGUCCUAACCACGGGCUUGAGAGAUGGUUAGAGCUGCAGAUAUUCUAUAGAGGAUUGACUUCGAACACUCGAGCUUAUGUCGAUAUGGCAGCGGGUGGAGCUAUUACAAACAAGACACUUGAUGAAGCUUUUCUGCUGAUUGAGAGCAUAGCUUUCCACCAACUUCAGUGGUACAAUAAGAAGCCCACGUCUGAUUCAUUGGUUUGCUUGCAACAAAUCACUACACCUCAGCCACCAAUUCUUACACAGAACCCUGAACCUCUAUCUCAGUGUGACAAGAUUGAGCUUGCAUGGAUUAUCUUUGACGAUGAUGACACCAUUCUAGUUGACACACACGCUACAGAUCAUAUGGAUACUAGUGUUGGAGAUUCGGUUUUGGAUUGUGAUGAUUCUUCCAUGGAUGAGCCAGAGCUGCAGUUAGUUGUUUUUGAUAUUGAGGAGUCACCUUUAGUUGAUAUUGAUCAUGUGCUGCUAGAGCCAGAUAUGGAGAAGUUCACCUUUGAUGAUGUUAGCCGCAUUGCUUCCUCAACACUUGAGCUUGAGAUGGAGAGCUUCAUGGUUGAGUAUGGUGAGGUGGAUUCAGAUGUCAAGGAGCCAAGCUCUACUAUUUCACUUGUUGACACGAGUCCGGUUGAAAUUUCUACUACCACACCUCACUUGGUAUCUUCAAUUGAGGUAGUCCUGAAGCUUCUUCCUAACUAUCUCAGGUAUGAUCUUAGCUUUCUGGACAAGACAUGUCAUAUCGCUGAUAUUGCCUAUGCCCCAUGUGACUUGUUGUUGAUACAUGUUCCUGAUUUUAUCAAUAGAUAUACGUAUAUGAUAGGGUACUAUAUCGAUGACUUAGAGGGCAUUCUCUUUGUCACUUGUAUUGGCUUGGUUGUUGAGUGUGCUUUCAGGUUUUUGCUUGUGCACGAUCCAUUACAUGUUGACCAGGUUCGAGGUGACAUUCCUUGGGACCCUGGUGGACUUAGAGCAUGGGGAUGAGGAGAAGCAAGGGGGCACACACGAGGAAGGGAGAAGCUGGAGCAGGCAUGAGGAUAGAGAAGCAAAAGGAGAGGAGCUGCAGUUGGUGAGGUGAUCAAGCAAGUGCUACUUCCUAUGAAAACCUGGUGAGCUGUUUCAUGACCCAUUCCUAGUAUAUCAUCCAUUGAUACAUGCUGAAAUCAAAUGUUAUUUGGGUUGCUUAAGCCAUGUCUUAAAUGUUGCCCCACUGAAUUUUACUUGACAUAUGGUGCUUGAUGAGAAUAUGUGAACUGAGUGUUGAAUGCCUGGUAAACUAGUGAUCUAUACAAUGCUUGCUUUGCUGAAAGUAGUGGAAGUUAUUAGUUUUGAGUGCUCAAAUCCCUAGUAUACUAGAAAACUUAAUCAUUUUCUGCUUUUACCUCGAUACACCUAGAUCACCACGUUUAGAUGUUGAAUUUGUGCUAAGUGUGUUCCCAUUGAGAGCAAACACCUAACCACUAUGGAUUAGCAUGCUAUGUUCCCUGGAUCGGUAGCUUGUGAACCAGACAUGGAGAAGUGAUGAUUCCUAUUUUUGUGCUUAUGUGUUGUUCAUUUAAGAUAAGUAAUAAUGAAUAAAUAAGUUUGACUACCUACAGUAGCAUGUCAUGUUCCCGGGAUCGGUGGCAUGUGAAAUCGGGUUAGCUUGGGCAGUAAUUAAUAAUAAAAAAUGUAAUUGUCGAACCAGGUGUAUACCAUGUUCUCGGGAUCGGUGGUAUGUUCCUUUGGGGAGACGAACAAAAAAAACUAAUAAUUGGUCGAGCCAGGUGUAUACCAUGUUCUCGGGAUCGGUGGUAUGUUCCUAUGGUGAGACUAAUAAUAAUAUAAUCAUUGCUUUAUCUCUGUAAAUAAGUGAUUUGAUCACAAGAUUUAAUUCCAGUUCAUUUUGUUCUUGGGAUCAUGCUCUCUUUAGGAACCAUUUGGCGCAGUCAUCAUUUAAACUUGUUGAUCCUCUUUUAUCUCUGUAAAAGUUUAAAAUGGUCAUGCUUACUAGUAUCCUACUACUUUGUAGCACGCCUAACCAUUAAUUUUCACUAGCUAAGUCCGAAGCAUGCCUUGUUUGGAGAUCUAUUUUACCAGGACAUUCCUUACUCAGUUUACUGUUCAUUAUCUUGCCUUUGUCAUAUUCCUUUGCUUGAGCACAAGCAAAGAUUUAAGUGUGGGGGAACUUGAUAAGUGCAUUUCAUAUAUAUAAUUUGGCACUCAAAUUUAGCAUCUAUCGUGAUAUAUCCAUCCAUUCUUGCUAUGAGUUGUGAUAUAUUUGAAUGAAAAUCAUAUAAAAGAUCAUUUACUUGUCAUUUGUUUCUUUUGCGGAAAAGUGCGCAAGGCACUAUAAUCGUCAAGAUUUCUACUAUUUGGCUAACGAGAAGAGAGAAGGGCUUGUGUGUGAUGACAAGAAGUAACCAAAGGGGCUAACUAUAGAAGAGAGGGGAUCUACUUGGGAAGGAAGAAGAUAGUAGGAGGGCCCAUGUGCAAACAUCAAAAUCUGCCGUGAGGGGAUCAAAAUCCCUAGGUCACUACACAAUUCCCCUUAGGCCUGGCAUCUCAUCUCUCUCCCCCGAUCCCUUUCUUCUCCACCUCCGGCCGCCGCCGCGGCCAGGCCGGCAUGGCGUCGCGCCACCGCGCCAUCACCAGCACCACCGCGCCACCCAGCACACCCGCCAGCGCCAUCAGCUCCUCCCCACGCCUCCACUAGCUCCACCGCACCAAAUCCAUCCACCAUCUCCACCAUCUCCAGCCAUCGCUGCACCUCGCACGCCCGACCAGACAAGAGGGUCAUGGGCGUCUGGUCUUCCGCGUGAGCGCCCCCGUGCUGCUGAUCUUCUUCUCCUUUCCCCCUGCCGCGUCUUCCCUUCACGUUGAUGUUGCUGCCUUUCUUGCGCCCAAGCUGCUUCUCCUCUUCUCUGAAACUACUGCUGCCUCUUCUCUCGAUCUCUGCUGCUUCUUCUCCGGGACCUCAAGCUGCUGCUCCAUUCCCAAACUGCUGCUCCUCUCUCCCUAGAGCCACCAUACUGUUGCUCCUUCUCCAUCGCCUGCUGCUACUCCCUUGCCCCACGCCUCUGCUCCUUCUCUGAACCAACUGCUGGCUUCUAUUACCUUUCCUCAAAACUGCUGUUGCUCCUAUUUCUUGCCGCACCUUCUCCCCAGCGCCCUCUUGCUGCUCCUAACUUGCUGAAGUUCUACUCUGAACCACUUUAUCUUGUGUGUUCGUGUGUGUGAGAUUGUGUGUGUUUGUACUUCAUAAGUAUUGAUAGUGUGUGAUGAAGAGAUAUGUUAAUUCCAGGGACAUGUAGUUGUUCUUAUAAUUUUGUUGAUCAAUGAGAAUUGGUACUGAUGCUUAUGAACUUCUAUUUCUAUGUAUGAGAUCUAGCCAAACCUGUCAUUUGUAUAUUGCACUUGCAGAAUAGUGUUCAGUUUUCAGUCCCUGUUUUAGCUCUAGUACCCGUGAUGUAUAUGUUCGUGAUAUAUGUUUCAUGUGGUUUCGUAUUGCUGUUAUGUUGAUCAUUUUAGUGCUAGUACUGUGUCUUUUGUAAUCCAAACCAUAUAUGAUUUGUAUGUGUGACUAAUUGACAGCUAGUAGCUUUUAAUUAUUCAUAUUGUUUCUUGUGAAUUUUCUAGCGAUGUUACUCUUUGUAGAAGUGAGACGUAUGAACAUUUAAUUUCCAAUCUCCGUGUUAACGAUGUUAGUGUGAAUAUAUAUAUAUAUAUAUAUAUAUAU
rnacentral:lncRNA from 1 species